rnacentral:rRNA from 1 species
AUUGAACGCUGGCGGCAGGCCUAACACAUGCAAGUCGAACGAGUGGCGGACGGGCGAGUAAUGUAUGGGAAACUGCCUGAUGUAGGGGGAUAACUAGUGGAAACGGUAGCUAAUACUGCAUACGAUCGGAUGUGGCCAGAUGGGAUUAGCUAGUCGGUGGGGUAACGGCUCACCUAGGCGACGAUGCAUAGCUGGUCUGAGAGGAUGACCCGCCACACUGGAACUGAGACACGGUCCAGACUCCUACGGGAGGCAGCAGUGGGGAAUAUUGGACAAUGGACGAAAGCCUGAUGCAGCCAUGCCGCGGGUAUGAAGAAGGCCUUCGGGUUGUAAAGUACUUUCAGCGGGGAGGCGUUACUCGCAGAAGAAGCACCGGCUAACUCCGUGCCAGCAGCCGCGGUAAUAC